AGCCUGAUGCAGCGACGCCGCGUGAGGGAUGGAGGCCUUCGGGUUGUAAACCUCUUUUGUUAGGGAGCAAGGCACUUUGUGUUGAGUGUACCUUUCGAAUAAGCACCGGCUAACUACGUGCCAGCAGCCGCGGUAAUACGUAGGGUGCAAGCGUUAUCCGGAAUUAUUGGGCGUAAAGGGCUCGUAGGCGGUUCGUCGCGUCCGGUGUGAAAGUCCAUCGCUUAACGGUGGAUCCGCGCCGGGUACGGGCGGGCUUGAGUGCGGUAGGGGAGACUGGAAUUCCCGGUGUAACGGUGGAAUGUGUAGAUAUCGGGAAGAACACCAAUGGCGAAGGCAGGUCUCUGGGCCGUUACUGACGCUGAGGAGCGAAAGCGUGGGGAGCGAACAGGAUUAGAUACCCUGGUAGUCCACGCCGUAAACGGUGGAUGCUGGAUGUGGGGCCCGUUCCACGGGUUCCGUGUCGGAGCUAACGCGUUAAGCAUCCCGCCUGGGGAGUACGGCCGCAAGGCUAAAACUCAAAGAAAUUGACGGGGGCCCGCACAAGCGGCGGAGCAUGCGGAUUAAUUCGAUGCAACGCGAAGAACCUUACCUGGGCUUGACAUGUUCCCGACGAUCCCAGAGAUGGGGUUUCCCUUCGGGGCGGGUUCACAGGUGGUGCAUGGUCGUCGUCAGCUCGUGUCGUGAGAUGUUGGGUUAAGUCCCGCAACGAGCGCAACCCUCGCCCCGUGUUGCCAGCGGAUUAUGCCGGGAACUCACGGGGGACCGCCGGGGUUAACUCGGAGGAAGGUGGGGAUGACGUCAGAUCAUCAUGCCCCUUACGUCCAGGGCUUCACGCAUGCUACAAUGGCCGGUACAACGGGAUGCGACAGUGCGAGCUGGAGCGGAUCCCUGAAAACCGGUCUCAGUUCGGAUCGCAGUCUGCAACUCGACUGCGUGAAGGCGGAGUCGCUAGUAAUCGCGAAUCAGCAACGUCGCGGUGAAUGCGUUCCCGGGCCUUGUACACACCGCCCGUCAAGUCAUGAAAGUGGGCAGCACCCGAAGCCGGUGGCCUAACCCCUUGC
rnacentral:rRNA from 1 species